GAUGCGGUGGCCUAAUGGUUAGCGUGCUGGACUCCGGACCAAGUGGUCCAGGUUCAAGCCCUGGCCGGGUUG